CAGUCGCCGCGGGAAUACGAAGGGUGCAAGCGUUACUCGGAAUUACUGGGCGUAAAGCGUGUGUAGGUGGUUGUUUAAGUCUGUCGUGAAAGCCCUGGGCUCAACCUGGGAAUUGCGAUGGAUACUGGGCGACUAGAGUGCGGUAGAGGAUAGUGGAAUUUCCGGUGUAGCAGUGAAAUGCGUAGAGAUCGGAAGGAACAUCUGUGGCGAAGGCGACUAUCUGGGCCAACACUGACACUGAGACACGAAAGCGUGGGGAGCAAACAGGAUUAGAUACCCCAGUAGUCCCUGUCUCUUAUAC
rnacentral:rRNA from 1 species